rnacentral:rRNA from 1 species
GACGAACGCUGGCGGCGUGCUUAACACAUGCAAGUCGAACGGAAAGGCCCUGCUUUUGUGGGGUGCUCGAGUGGCGAACGGGUGAGUAACACGUGAGUAACCUGCCCUUGACUUUGGGAUAACUUCAGGAAACUGGGGCUAAUACCGGAUAGGAGCUCCUGCUGCAUGGUGGGGGUUGGAAAGUUUCGGCGGUUGGGGAUGGACUCGCGGCUUAUCAGCUUGUUGGUGGGGUAGUGGCUUACCAAGGCUUUGACGGGUAGCCGGCCUGAGAGGGUGACCGGCCACAUUGGGACUGAGAUACGGCCCAGACUCCUACGGGAGGCAGCAGUGGGGAAUAUUGCACAAUGGGCGGAAGCCUGAUGCAGCAACGCCGCGUGCGGGAUGACGGCCUUCGGGUUGUAAACCGCUUUCGCCUGUGACGAAGCGGGAGUGACGGUAAUGAGUAAAGAAGCACCGGCUAACUACGUG